UUUUCUCCAAUUUUGUUUUUUCAAUACCUAAAAAAAUUUCUGCGUCAAUAUAAAUGCUUAAAAUAAUGGAAACAACCGAAGAAUGUGGGCUGCCGAUAGAAUUAUGAGAGAUGUGUGCCCACCAAAAACCCUGAAAAUAAUUAACGAAAUUGGUGCUGGAAUUGGAGGCCGCCGUAGCGCAGAGGUUAGCAUGUCCGCCGAUGACGCUGAACGCUUGGGUUCGAAUCCUGGCGAGACCAUCGGAAAAAAUUUUUCUGCGUUGGUUUUCCCCUCCAAAUAUGCUGGCAACAUUUGUGAGGUAAAGAGGUGUCGCACUGCGGCACACCGAUCAGACUCGGCUAUAAAAAGGGGGCCCCUUACAUUGAGCUUAAACUUGAAUCGGACUGCACUCAUUGAUAUGUGAGAAGUUUGCCCUGGUUCCUUAGUGGAAUGUUCAUGGUCAAAAUUUGCAUUUUUUACUGGUGCUGGAAUUAGAGCUGGUACCCUGUCUAAUGAUAAGGAUGCCAAAUGCAAUGAUGCAAACGGUAAGAAGUAGUAAAGAAGAAAUAAAAAAUGUCGAAAAAGAAGACAACUCAGGAAAGAUUGAGAUGAUUUUAA